GACGAACGCUGGCGGCGUGCUUAACACAUGCAAGUCGAACGGAAAGGCCUCUUUCGGGGGGUACUCGAGUGGCGAACGGGUGAGUAACACGUGAGUAACCUGCCCUUGACUUUGGGAUAACUUCAUUAAACGGUUGCUAAUACCGGAUAGGAGCUCCUGCUGCAUGGUGGGGGUUGGAAAGUUUCGGCGGUGGGGGUUGGACGCGCGGCUUAUUAGCAUGUUUGUGGGGGAGUGGCUUAACAUGGCUGUUACGGGUAGCCGGCCAGAGAGUGUGACCGGCCACAUUGGGACUGAGAUACGGCCCAGCCUCCUACGGCAGGAAGAAGUGGAGAAUCUUGAGCACUGGGUGGAGGCGUGAUGCUGCCACGACCAGCGCGGGAUGACGGACUUCGGGUUGUAACACGCUUUCGCUCAUGAAGAAGCUUUGUGUGACGGUAGUGGGUAAAGAAGCACCGGCUAACUACGUG
rnacentral:rRNA from 1 species